UAGGGAAUCUUCCAUAAUGGGCGAAAGCCUGAUGGAGCAACGCCGCGUGUGUGAUGAAGGGUUUCGGCUCGUAAAACACUGUUGUAAGAGAAGAAUGACAUUGAGAGUAACUGUUCAAUGUGUGACGGUAUCUUACCAGAAAGGAACGGCUAAAUACGUGCCAA
rnacentral:rRNA from 1 species